GACCUCACCGUCCGGUUGCGGCACAAAGGGGCCCUGAGCCGCUCCCUGGCCACUGCACCUGGUGGUCACCUUGCGGGCGCCCGGCCCCAGCGUCCUCCCGGGAGGGGACUCCGCGCGCCCUGGAACCAGCCUUCGGUGCAUUCUUGGUGACAAGCUGGAAGCAGCUCUGCAGGCGGACAGCCCCGAGGGGCAGCGCGCCCACGCAGCCCGGCAGGGAAGGGGUGCUCAGCUCCAGGCUACUCGGCCCGGCCCGCUGGGCAUCCUCCUGAGGCCUGCGAGCCAGGUUGGUGCUGCUGUUCCCUCUUUGGAGUGGUUCUCAGCUACCCGGGAGAUGACAGUGGCCCCAGAAGAGAGUGCCAGGUGCAAGUGUGUGCCUUGCAGCCCUGGAGACACCGGAAGGGCCAGGGUUCUGGACAGCCUUCCGCCCCGUGAGUUCCAGUCUACACCGGCGGCAGCCCCACCCAGAGGCUUUCUGUCAUGGCUAGCUAGCUUGUCUCCUUUCUUUCUUUCUCUUUCCUCCUUCCGUACUGGAGAUUAAACCCAGGGCCUUCACUACAUCCCCAGCCCUUUUAAAGUUUUGAGACAGAGACUUGAUAAGUCAUUAAGUUACCCAGGCUGGGCACAAAACUUUGGUCCUCCUGCCUCAGCCUCCAGUGUGCUGGGGCAUUGUCUCAAAAUAAGAAAUAGAAUAGGGCUGAGGAUGGAAAGGCCCUGGGUUCAAUCCCCAAUGCUACAAAAAAAUAACUCACCCCCCCCCAAGUGCAAAUGCACCCCCAUUUCACAGAUGGGAAACUGAGGCUCUCAGAAGGGAGCCCUAGGAAGGAGUGAGGAGCUUUCUCUGCUGCCCCUGCUCCUGGGAGAGGUGGGCAGUUCCAGGGCCGGGGCACAGGGACCCAGGGGUCUGCCCAGCCCUGGUCUCCUCCCCACCCCGGUUCUGCUCAGGAAGUGUUGAAAGAAUGGAGCUUUCUGCCAGCUCCUUGGGGGAGGAGGAGGGCGAGGGCUGGGGACUCAGGCCGGGAGGAACACUGCGCUCCCAUAGGAGGCUGACAGUACUUUCUGUUUAAGUGAAGCCCGGAGCCCGCAGAGUCCUGGGCAUGGCCGUGACCCCAGGAAGAGACUUUCUCUAAGACGGGCUGGGCGGUGGCUGUUCCUAUGUGUCCUGGGGUGUCCACGGACUGGGGAGCGACCCAGACCUUGCCAGGCAGCCCCCUCCCCCUCCCUGGGGUGUGUCCUCACCCCUCAGCCUGAGGACAGAGGAGAGCCCUCCUGGGUAUUUGCUGGGGCCCCACCAGGCAGCACAUGACACCGGGUGACAACAUGGGGCUGAGGUGGCGCCACCUAGGAGGCUCAUGGGAGCCUGGGCUGUUCGGGGAGGGGAAGCUGGGCAUGGGGGCGCUGGGAGGGCCCUGGGAUCCCUGCAGCCUUCUCGGGGCAGCUCUGUGGUGCUCAGAAGGCAUGGUGAAGCUGCCCUGUGCCUGGGAGGUGGGUGGGCACCGGCUUGGGAGUCAGGUUGACCUGGCUCCUGUCUAAAGUGGGGACGCGGCCUCACUAGGCCUGGUGGUGAGGAAAUGAGGCCCCAAGCUCCCCAAAGUCUGGGGGUGUGGGGGAGGGAUCCUGCCCCUGCUUUCAAAUCCCGGAGAUAGACAGAAGCCAGGGCCAGGGCCUGAGCCACAGCCCUGACGCCAUCCUGGCACCUGUAAAUAAAGCGGCCUUGAAUCUUU